rnacentral:rRNA from 1 species
AUACGGAGGAUCCGAGCGUUAUCCGGAUUUAUUGGGUUUAAAGGGAGCGUAGGUGGAUUGUUAAGUCAGUUGUGAAAGUUUGCGGCUCAACCGUAUAAUUGCAGUUGAAACUGGCAGUCUUGAGUACAGUAGAGGUGGGCGGAAUUCGUGGUGUAGCGGUGAAAUGCUUAGAUAUCACGAAGAACUCCGAUUGCGAAGGCAGCUCACUAGACUGUUACUGACACUGAUGCUCGAAAGUGUGGGUAUCAAACAGGAUUAGAUACCCUGGUAGUCCACACAGUAAACGAUGAAUACUCGCUGUUUGCGAUAUACAGUAAGCGGCCAAGCGAAAGCAUUAAGUAUACCACCUGGGGAGUACGCCGGCAACGGUGAAACUCAAAUGAAUUGACGGGG